UCUUUUAUAGUUGAAAUUUAUCAUUUCAUUUCUCAAUUGAAUUCAUAUUUUAUCCUUUACGCUUGAAAGCUUUUUACUAAUCACUCUGCAAUGAAAGUGCCGUCCACUGGAGAGUACCUGGACUCUGUGUUUGAAGAUCUCUGUCUAAGAAAUUCACCAUAGGAAUGUGAGCUACAUCUGGCAUGACCUCAGUUGGUGUCAAGAUUUCAAAAGCCCAUGUAAUACGUCACACAUUCCUGACUCAAAAUCCUUGCCUACCAUGUAAAGGGGUUUGCACGUUACAAAGAGCCUGGAAGAAACGGCCGGGGCACACUCUGAAGGAAUUGUGUGGAACACUUGGUAUGAUGGAGAGAUGGCUUAUACAGUGAGGAGUUCAAACACAGUCCAUGGUGACCAGGAACGUGCUGAACUGGACAGAGACGAUAUGAUAAUUGGGUGAGCAGUCAUUUUACUACCUUCCCAGAAACAGUAAGCACCUUAUAUGCUGCUUUUCUAUGAGAAUAUUUAAGAACUUAGAAACCUCACUCAAAUACUAUUUACCAAGGACAUCAGGUGUCUGAAAGAACAGAACUGAUUUGUGAUUUCUUUUUUUUUUUUUUUUGGUGGCAACAACCCAAGGUGUUUUGUCUUCUUAAGUCCAUUUCCCCCAAGGAUGUUUUACUUUCAUUAUAAUCAGCA
rnacentral:lncRNA from 12 species